rnacentral:rRNA from 1 species
UGGGGAAUUUUGGACAAUGGGCGAAAGCCUGAUCCAGCCAUGCCGCGUGAGUGAAGAAGGCCUUCGGGUUGUAAAGCUCUUUCGGCCGGAACGAAAUCAACCGAGCUAAUACCUCGGUUGGAUGACGGUACCGGAAGAAGAAGCACCGGCUAACUACGUGCCAGCAGCCGCGGUAAUACGUAGGGUGCAGGCGUUAAUCGGAAUUACUGGGCGUAAAGCGUGCGCAGGCGGCUUCCUAAGUCAGAUGUGAAAUCCCCGGGCUUAACCUGGGAACUGCGUUUGAAACUGGGAGGCUAGAGUGCGGCAGAGGGGGGUGGAAUUCCACGUGUAGCAGUGAAAUGCGUAGAUAUGUGGAGGAACACCGAUGGCGAAGGCAGCCCCCUGGGCCAGCACUGACGCUCAUGCACGAAAGCGUGGGGAGCAAACAGG